CCUACGGGUGGCAGCAGUAGGGAAUAUUGCUCAAUGGGGGAAACCCUGAAGCAGCAACGCCGCGUGGAGGAUGAAGGUUUUAGGAUUGUAAACUCCUUUUGUGAGAGAAGAUAAUGACGGUAUCUCACGAAUAAGCACCGGCUAACUCCGUGCCAGCAGCCGCGGUAAUACGGAGGGUGCAAGCGUUACUCGGAAUCACUGGGCGUAAAGGGUGCGCAGGCGGGCUUGUAAGUCAGAUGUGAAAUCCUGUGGCUUAACUACAGAACUGCAUUUGAAACUAUGAGUCUAGAGUGUGGGAGAGGUAGGUGGAAUUCUUGGUGUAGGGGUAAAAUCCGUAGAUAUCAGGAGGAAUACUCGUUGCGAAGGCGACCUACUGGAACAUUACUGACGCUCAUGCACGAAAGCGUGGGGAGCAAACAGGAUUAGAUACCCGGGUAGUC
rnacentral:rRNA from 1 species